GCCGAAGUGGUGGAAUUGGUAGACACGCCAUCUUGAGGGGGUGGUGCUCUUCUGAGCGUACGAGUUCGAGUCUCGUCUUCGGCACCA
rnacentral:tRNA from 1 species